ACGAGUUUGAUCCUGGCUCAGAUUGAACGCUGGCGGCGUGCUUAACACAUGCAAGUCGAGCGGUAACGCGGGGGCAACCCUGGCGACGAGCGGCGAACGGGUGCGUAAUGCAUGGGAAUCUGCCUGAUAGUGGGGAAUAACCCGGGGAAACUCGGGCUAAUGCCGCAUACGACCUACGGGUGAAAGCGGGGGACCGUAAGGCCUCGCGCUAUCGGAUGAGCCCAUGUCGGAUUAGCUAGUUGGUAGGGUAACGGCCUACCAAGGCUACGAUCCGUAGCUGGUCUGAGAGGACGGCCAGCCACACUGGGACUGAGACACGGCCCAGACUCCUACGGGAGGCAGCAGGUGGGGAAUAUUGGACAAUGGGGGAAACCCUGAUCCAGCGACGCCGCGUGUGUGAAGAAGGCCUGCGGGUUGUAAAGCACUUUCGGUGGGAACGAAAUAUGCCGGGCCAAUACCCCGGCAGGCUGACGUUACCCAAUGAAGAAGCACCGGCUAACUCUGUG
rnacentral:rRNA from 1 species